rnacentral:lncRNA from 1 species
AUGGCUACAAAAUUCCUAGCACAUGAGAAGAUCUGGCUCGACAAAUUCAAAUAUGAAGAUACAGAAAGGAAAUUCUACAAGCAGAUGAAUGGGCCUGUGGCCAGCGCCUCCCGCCAGAGCUCGGCCCCAGGGAAGACCACAGCGAGCUCGUCCUCCAGAUCGCCAGCCUGGAAGUGGAGAACCAGAGCCUGCGCGGCGUGGUGCAGGAGCUGCAGCAGGCGGUCUCCAACCUGGAGGCCUGGCUGAACAUGCCGGAGAAGAGAGAAGAGCUCGCCUGGCCAUGGUCCACAGUCCCGCAGACACAGCACGUGUCUCCCAUGCGCCAAGUGGAGCGCCCCUCCCCUCGCCCCCCUUACUACGACCCCGGCCAAGAAGCAGAGGAUAACGAGGACGAUGACAUUGAUCUGUUGGCAGCGACAAUAAGGAGGAAGACAAGGAGGCAAGGCGGCUGCGGGAGGAGCGGCUGCGGCUGUACGCCAAGAAGGCCAAGAAUCCCUCGCUGGUGGCCAAGUCCUCCAUCCUGCUGGACAUCAAGCCUUGGGACAAUAAGACGGACAUGACCCAGCUGGAGGCAUGUGUGCGCUCUAUCCAGCUGGAUGGGCUAGUGAGCGGGGCCUCCAAGCUGGCGUCCGUGGGCUAUGGUAUCCGGAAGAUGCAGAUUCAGUGUGUGGUGGAGGACGACAAAGUGGGGACAGACUUGCUGGAGGAGGAGAUCACCAAGUUUGAGGAGCAUGUGCAGAGUGUCGACAUCGCAGCUUUGAACAAGAUCUGA